rnacentral:rRNA from 1 species
GACGAACGCUGGCGGCGUGCUUAACACAUGCAAGUCGAACGGAAAGGCCCUGCUUUUGUGGGGUGCUCGAGUGGCGAACGGGUGAGUAACACGUGAGUAACCUGCCCUUGACUUUGGGAUAACUUCAGGAAACUGGGCUAAUACCGGAUAGGAGCUCCUGCUGCAUGGUGGGGGUUGGAAAGUUUCGGCGGUUGGGGAUGGACUCGCGGCUUAUCAGCUUGUUGGUGGGGUAGUGGCUUACCAAGGCUUUGACGGGUAGCCGGCCUGAGAGGGUGACCGGCCACAUUGGGACUGAGAUACGGCCCAGACUCCUACGGGAGGCAGCAGUGGGGAAUAUUGCACAAUGGGCGGAAGCCUGAUGCAGCAACGCCGCGUGCGGGAUGACGGCCUUCGAGUUGUAAACCGCUUUCGCCUGUGACGAAGCGUGAGUGACGGUAAUGGGUAAAGAAGCACCGGCUAACUACGUG